UCUUUGGAAUUCUACUUGAUUGUUUGUGUUGUUUCCUUGAUUUGAAUGUGUGGUUUAAAUGUGUGAAGAAAUUAUUAAUUAUGGUUUGUUCUGAUUCGCUGUUGUAUUAAUGGAAUUACUUUUUGUCAAUUGAAAGCGUUAUAAUUUCAGGAAUAUGUUCUCGUGUGAAUAUAAGUGUUUUGUUAUUGACAUAAGGCGACAAGCAUCGAUUAUCUUUUACGAUGGUGGCCAUGAUAUCAAGCCCACUCUGAGAGCAAGGCUCCAAAUGCCUUGGGAAUACGUGUCUGCUUUGCUUUUCCAAUUGUUUCAUGGCCCAAUUUGAAGUGGAUCUGUCGCUGAAGAAUUCAGAUUCUCUCUGUAUCGGUUUAGUCUCUUGUCUUUAGGAAUUCCAUUGUUUCACAUCCUAUUUAGCUGACUAAUUGUUUCAGUAUUACGAUCCGAGAUAUAGAUGAACAGGGCCGUAGAUAGAGAUUUUCUUGGGGAGGGGCAACAUUUCGCAUGCAAACUUGAUUUCUAUAAGAUGUUUUAAUAUGAAAGUUUACUAAGAAAAUUAGAGUCGAACUACAAAAUUUUGAGCAUUUUAUAUCUACUUUUAUGAAUUAUGACAAAUUAAGGGGGA